GAUGAACGCUGGCGGCGUGCUUAACACAUGCAAGUCGAACGGGAAACUUAUUAUUGAAACUUCGGUCGAUUUAAUUUGUUUCUAGUGGCGGGCGGGUGAGUAACGCGUGGGUAACCUGCCCUAUACAGGGGGAUAACAACCAGAAAUGGUUGCUAAUACCGCAUAAGCGCACGGGACCGCAUGGUCCAGUGUGAAAAACUCGGGUGGUAUAGGAUGGACCCGCGUUGGAUUAGCUAGUUGGUGGGGUAACGGCCCACCAAGGCGACGAUCCAUAGCCAGCCUGAGAGGGUGAGCGGCGACACUGGGACUGAGACACGGCCCGGGCUCCUACGGGAGGCAGCAGUGGGGAAGAUUGCACAAUGGGGGAAACCCUGAGGCAGCGACGCCGCGUGAAGGAAGGAGUAUCUCGGUAUGUAAACUUCUAUCAGCAGGGGAGAUAGUGACGGUACCUGACUAAGAUGCCCCGGCUAACUACGUGCCAGCCGCCGCCGUAAUAC
rnacentral:rRNA from 1 species